rnacentral:rRNA from 1 species
ACUUCCUACGGGAGGCAGCAGUGAGGAAUAUUGGUCAAUGGGCGGGAGCCUGAACCAGCCAAGUCGCGUGAGGGAAGACGGUCCUAUGGAUUGUAAACCUCUUUAGGCGGGGAGCAAUGCCGGGCACGUGUGCCCGGAGGGAGAGUACCCGCAGAAUAAGCAUCGGCUAACUCCGUGCCAGCAGCCGCGGUAAUACGGAGGAUGCGAGCGUUAUCCGGAUUUAUUGGGUUUAAAGGGUGCGUAGGCGGAUUUUUAAGUCAGCGGUAAAAUGUCCGGGCUCAGCCCGGGCCGGCCGUUGAAACUGG